rnacentral:tRNA from 1 species
GGAGGGCUGUAGCUCAGUGGAAGAGCCUCUGCUUUGUGUACCGAAGGCACCGGGUUCAAUCCCCGGCAUCUCCA